rnacentral:lncRNA from 1 species
GAAGCACAGAAGGCCCAACACAUGUCAGUGGUAACCAUUUUGUUGUGGAUACAAAACACAGGGUUUUUGAAGUGGCAAUGGAAAGACCUUUGGAUGAAUGCUGUACAUUCCUAUUCCCUGUGGAGCCACUGGAAAUGAUGAUCGUCUUUUUAGGACUAGACAGGCAUGGAGGCGUGGGACACUAGGGAUUAACUCAAAAGCCAAGAGGAGGUCUUGUCACUGUGGAAGAUCCAAAGAAUCAAAAUCUACCAAUUAUUGCUUCAACUGCUUUUGUGCAAGUACACAGGUUUGUGGAGCAAGCAGCUGUUCAUUUGUUUUGUCAGUAAUGGAAGGAAGACUUGAACAGCUGAUGACAGCUCUGAGCAUUUAUGUUCCAGCUGGUCUCAAAAAUCACAUAACUGGAAGUCGUAAAGACAUGCUGGGGAAAAAAAAGUGGCAGGAAAAUUGGCAGAAAAAGAGACACUGAAAACUUGAAGCAGAAACUAUGGCAACCUGAAGCACUUGGAGGAAAUGCACAGGAGUUUCACCAGUGACACCUGGAGGACCAGGCUUACACCUCAGCAGUGCAGGGAAGUUUGAGAGAGAUGAUUCUUCCCUUGAUUUGUCACAUGUAAGACUGCAACCCAGACUGCAUCUACACCUGCAUUUUUGGAUUGUCCCAGUACAAGAAAGACAUUGACAAACUGGAGAGAGUCCAGCAGAGGACACCAAGUUGGUCAGGAAGCUGGAGCACAAGGUAGGCUGAGGAGCAAAGAGAGGCUGAGGGAGACGGGCCUGUUCAGGCCCCAGAAAAGAU